GCUGUCUAUUAUUAAGACAGUAUCUCACUGGCCUUGAAAUUACGAUGAAAUGGCUUGGACCCUUGAUCCUUCUACCUCUGUCUCCUGAAUGCUGGGAUUACAGGUAAGUGCCUGUAACCAUACCAAACUAGAACAUUGAUAUCUUGAAUGUUCACUAAAGACUUCUUAUCAGCUUAUAGUCUUAAUGAGGGGAUAUACCCUUAAGGAAGAUAUUGGGGGCCUGCCUCUUUCUAUUGCUUCUCCCUGCCGUGAGGUGAGCAGGCUUCUUCCUUAGCCACAAGUGCCCACCAUGAUGUAAUAAACCAUAGCCAAAGGAACAGACGAAACAUGGACUUGGAAAACUGUGAGCUAAAGAAAUUCUCUGGUUAUUUAGAGCAUUUAUUAUAGUAACAGAAAGCUAGCAUCUUUAUUUUUAAGAUUUUUUUAAAGCUGAUAUGGAAUUUGUUUUCUUUAAUCAGAUAUUCUUUGCUUUGUAUGAUUUCUGAUGAAAAGUCGGCUGUUCUUUUAUGUGUGCUUGUGAAUGUAGAAUGUUUCUAACUGCUGCUGUUACACUCUGAAUGUACCCAAUUGUUGUGGAGCCUUAGGGUUUUAAUUGUAAGUAAGGAAAAAUAUUUGGCUGUCUCUUCAAGUUUCAUCCCUGUACUUUUCCUCUCCAGCUAUGCCCAGGCUAGACCAUGUGGUUAUUUCCCCACAGGCCACAUCAGUGAUUCUCAACCUCCUUUUCUUGUACUUGUUUGGUUCCUUCUGAUAAGUUAAAAUUCAUUCAUCUUUCUAACCGUAUUGUCUAAUCUGUGUACUCCCAACCAGGGUAUAUUCUAGAAAUUCCACUUGCUGAGUUUAAGUAUUUUUCUCAGUAUGUUCACUUUCUUUUACAUCCUUGAAAAUAUAAUAGCUAUUUUUAAAGUCCUUA
rnacentral:lncRNA from 1 species